UCGAACGAGUUCUCGUUGAUGAUCGGUGCUUGCACCGAGAUUCAACAUGGAACGAGUGGCGGACGGGUGAGUAACACGUGGGUAACCUGCCCUUAAGUGGGGGAUAACAUUUGGAAACAGAUGCUAAUACCGCAUAGAUCCAAGAACCGCAUGGUUCUUGGCUGAAAGAUGGCGUAAGCUAUCGCUUUUGGAUGGACCCGCGGCGUAUUAGCUAGUUGGUGAGGUAACGGCUCACCAAGGCGAUGAUACGUAGCCGAACUGAGAGGUUGAUCGGCCACAUUGGGACUGAGACACGGCCCAAACUCCUACGGGAGGCAGCAGUAGGGAAUCUUCCACAAUGGACGCAAGUCUGAUGGAGCAACGCCGCGUGAGUGAAGAAGGCUUUCGGGUCGUAAAACUCUGUUGUUGGAGAAGAAUGGUCGGCAGAGUAACUGUUGUCGGCGUGACGGUAUCCAACCAGAAAGCCACGGCUAACUACGUGCCAGCAGCCGCGGUAAUACGUAGGUGGCAAGCGUUAUCCGGAUUUAUUGGGCGUAAAGCGAGCGCAGGCGGUUUUUUAAGUCUGAUGUGAAAGUCCUCGGCUUAACCGAGGAAGCGCAUCGGAAACUGGGAAACUUGAGUGCAGAAGAGGACAGUGGAACUCCAUGUGUAGCGGUGAAAUGCGUAGAUAUAUGGAAGAACACCAGUGGCGAAGGCGGCUGUCUGGUCUGUAACUGACGCUGAGGCUCGAAAGCAUGGGUAGCGAACAGGAUUAGAUACCCUGGUAGUCCAUGCCGUAAACGAUGAAUGCUAGGUGUUGGAGGGUUUCCGCCCUUCAGUGCCGCAGCUAACGCAUUAAGCAUUC
rnacentral:rRNA from 1 species